rnacentral:ncRNA from 1 species
AAUAAAUUUAAGCAAACCUUCUGAAAGGAAGGGACGCAAAGCCGUGGGUCUAACGAUGAAAAAAUCUAUGAUUGCCAGGUUGCACUA